CCUACGGGCGGCAGCAGUGGGGAAUAUUGGACAAUGGGCGAAAGCCUGAUCCAGCCAUGCCGCGUGUGUGAAGAAGGCCUUCGGGUUGUAAAGCACUUUCAGUGGGGAAGAAAGCCUUGGGGCUAAUACCCUCGAGGAAGGACAUCACCCACAGAAGAAGCACCGGCUAACUCCGUGCCAGCAGCCGCGGUAAUACGGAGGGUGCGAGCGUUAAUCGGAAUUACUGGGCGUAAAGCGCGCGUAGGCGGUCUGAUAAGCCGGUUGUGAAAGCCCCGGGCUCAACCUGGGAACGGCAUCCGGAACUGUCAGGCUAGAGUGCAGGAGAGGAAGGUAGAAUUCCCGGUGUAGCGGUGAAAUGCGUAGAGAUCGGGAGGAAUACCAGUGGCGAAGGCGGCCUUCUGGACUGACUCUGACGCUGAGGUGCGAAAGCGUGGGUAGCAAACAGGAUUAGAUACCCUAGUAGUC
rnacentral:rRNA from 1 species